UACGUAGGUGGCAAGCGUUGUCCGGAUUUACUGGGCGUAAAGAGCGCGCAGGCGGUCGUUCAAGUCGAGUGUGAAAGCCCCCGGCUCAACUGGGGAGGGUCACUCGAUACUGAUCGACUCGAAGGCAGAAGAGGGAAGCGGAAUUCCCGGUGUAGUGGUGAAAUGCGUAGAUAUCUGGAGGAAUACCGGUGGCGAAGGCGGCAUCCUGGACCGGCAUUGACGCUGAGGAGCGAAAGCUAGGGGAGCAAACGGG
rnacentral:rRNA from 1 species